rnacentral:rRNA from 1 species
UACGUAGGGGGGCAAGCGUUGUCCGGAAUCAUUGGGCGUAAAGCGCGUGUAGGCGGUUCGAUUAGUCUGCUGUGAAAGUCGGGGGCUCAACCCUCGAAUGCCGGUGGAUACUGUCGGGCUAGAGUGCGGAAGAGGCGAGUGGAAUUCCUGGUGUAGCGGGUGAAAUGCGCAGAUAUCAGGAGGAACACCAAUUGCGAAGGCAGCUCGCUGGGACGGUUACUGACGCUGAGACGCGAAAGCGUGGGGAGCAAACAGG